UGAAAUCCCUAAUCUUCCCAUGGCCCGACAAUAUUUUCUCAUAGAAAAUAUUUGAUUCUCCCUCCAUCUUCCAAUCUUUUUAGUUCCCUUCCCAUUACAAAUCAGUUUUCCAUUCCAAACCCUAACAAACGUUUAACAAAAAAACACCCCUUCUUCACCGUUUUGAACUCCUCCAUCGUUUUCUCUACUUCCCCUCCUUCUUCUGCUCUCCAAUGGCUAUCCCUGCCGCAAACGUUUAACAAAAAAAACACCCUUUUGUUUAUACCCAAUGCCAGUGUAUCCACGCGCGUUCCAUUUUCCCGUGUCAAGACACUCCCGCAGCGAGAAUCCGUUACUCUGGUUUGCUCAAUGUCCCUCGGAAGUUAUCCGCCGUUUCAAGUGAAUACUUUUCAUUCUUCCUUUAAUUUUUGCCUAACAAUAAGCUCAUCACUCCCUCAAUCUUGUUUGUCGUUUUCAAAUAGACCCCUUUCUCUUCUAAUGUUUCUGCCGGUUAUUUUUGUUGGAGAUGUUGGGGCUGCUGCAGGGAUAAGACGAGGACAUCGAGGAAGAAUCAAGCGUCGUCAAGCAGCGGAGGUGGAGGAGGUGAAGGGAAUCAAGACGAGAUUACGGAUGAAGAAGCUCUUUCCAAUAUCACCAAACAAAAAGCCGCUGCUGCCAAGCAGUAUAUUGAGAAUCAUUACAAGGAGCAGAUGAAGAAUCUUCAAGACAGAAAAGAGAGCUGAAAUGAAUAAAGUUUUUUUGAUAUGCGAGCAUGAGAUGAUGAGGCGGAAGUAAGGAAGUUUUUUUAUAUUUGAAUUUGGUCUGAGUUUAUGGGUAAAGUGGAUUUUGGGUGAAAUCGGCAGAAGCAUGAGGCAGGGUUUGCUGUCGAGUGGUCUAUUGACGAACAUUAUAUAUUGGAGGACAGCCUUGAAAAGUAUAAAGAUGAACCAAGUAUUAUGAAGUACAUAAAGAUUGCAGCUACCUUGCCUGAUAAAACUGUACGUGAUGUUGCAUUGAGGUGUUGGUGGAUGCAAGCCCAUGCAUGAAGUUACAUUUUCAAUAGAAGACAAACCAAAACUUCUUAGUCAGUUAGUGAAUCCGGAGAGUGGCUAUAAUUAUAGAGCUGUCAAAAGAUGGACUUCGCAAAGGAAGUUGGGUUACUGCCUAUUGGACUGUGAUAAAGAACACAUUCCCUAUGCCUUAUUUUCGUUUAAGGACCGCCAAGGAAAUUCUGAAACUAAAAGCUAAUUGAUCGGAUGUGUAUGCCGGCUUUCAUCAACUACUUUCGAAGGCCUUACUAGAAAUUGAAAUGGUGUGCAAAGAGAUUGCUUCUUCUGAUCUGAUUUUUCGAUAUAAAUACUGGACAAAGUAUGGAUAUUUCUUGUCAGUUGCAUUUACUGCUGUUAGUAAAAUAGGAUUCUCUUCUUAGGAUCUUAGUUUCUUCACUUGUAUUAGACUCAACAAUGGCUUGCAUUGCAUUGGUGUUGAUUUUACCUAAAUUUCGAGGUUUACAAUUUUUAAUUUUUAUUAAUUAUUUACGUUUUCUCA